CGAGUGGCGGACGGGUGAGUAAUGUCUGGGAAACCGCCCGAUGGAGGGGGAUAACUACUGGAAACGGUAGCUAAUACCGCAUAACGUCGCAAGACCAAAGAGGGGGACCUUAGGGCCUCUUGCCAUCGGAUGUGCCCAGAUGGGAUUAGCUAGUAGGUGGGGUAACGGCUCACCUAGGCGACGAUCCCUAGCUGGUCUGAGAGGAUGACCAGCCACACUGGAACUGAGACACGGUCCAG
rnacentral:rRNA from 1 species